rnacentral:rRNA from 1 species
CAUCGAAUCUUUGAACGCAUAUUGCGCUCGAGGCCUCGGCCGAGAGCAUGUCUGCCUCAGCGUCGGCUUACACCAUCACCCGCCUUCAAUUUAGCCAGCGUGCGGUCGUCGGCCCGGGUGGACCUGGCAGUCUCAGCUUCCCUCGCGGCGGCUGGGUCUGCCGAAGAAUAGAGGCUUGAGCACGGACCCGAUUACGGCAACAACUGGGUGGGCAGCUCGUCUGCAACUAGUUGGUGCUUGGGACCGUGUUGGUGGCCCUUUGGAAGCGACGGCUGGCUUGCCGUCGUGACACCUCACUAUUCGACCUGAGCUCAGGCAAGAUUACCCGCUGAACUUAAGCAUAUCAAUAAG